AGAAAGCAGCUAAUUAAGUUGCUUUCAAGGCCACAGCUGGCUGUGAUAGACUAAAGGGCUUCACAUACGGCAGGAAAUAAAAGCUGAUCCAGGAGAAAGUUUCCCGUUGGGGUAAAGCCACAUGACAAUAAAAUGCUAGUUCAGUGUUUUUUAAAA